UAAUAAAUCAAUUCUGCUCAAUGAAUAUAUUUAAAUAGCUGCAGUUUUUGACUGUACAAAGGUAGCAUAAUCAAUUGUCUUUUUAUUAAAGUCUAGAAUGAAAGAAAUAAUGAAAUAAAAACUGUCGCAAAAUAAAUAAAUUUUAAAUUUUAUUGUAAGUAAAAAUUCUUACCUAAUUAUAAUAGACGAGAACACCCUAUAGAAUUUUAUUAUUAAAAUUAUUAUUUGUAUUUAUUAUUAAUAAAUUAAAUUAUUUUAAUAAUUAUAUUGGGAGGAUAAUAAAAUUUAAAUAAUUUUUAUAUUUUUAUCACUAAAAUAGAAUAUUCUAACCAAUAUUAUUGAAUUUAAAUAAAUUACCUUAGGGAUAACAGCGUUAAAUUUUUAAAGAGUUCAUAUUGAUAAAAAUUUUUGCGACCUCGAUGUUGAAUUAAAUUUAAUUGUUAUUGUAGAUAAUAACAACAUUUAAUCUGUUCGACUAUUAAAAUUUUACAUGAUUUGAGUUUAGAUCGGUGUGAGCCAGAUCGGUUUCUAUCUUUAUAUAAUAGUUAUAUUUUGUACGAAAGGACUUAAUAUAAAUAUUAAUUAUUUAUUAUUGAAUAAAAUUAUUUUAUA